rnacentral:rRNA from 1 species
UAGGGAAUCUUCCGCAAUGGACGCAAGUCUGACGGAGCAACGCCGCGUGAGUGAAGAAGGAUUUCGGUUCGUAAAACUCUGUUGUUAGAGAAGAACAGCGCAUAGAGUAACUGUUAUGCGUGUGACGGUAUCUAACCAGAAAGCCACGGCUAACUACGUGCCAGCAGCCGCGGUAAUACGUAGGUGGCAAGCGUUGUCCGGAUUUAUUGGGCGUAAAGCGAGCGCAGGCGGUCAAUUAAGUCUGAUGUGAAAGCCCCCGGCUCAACCGGGGAGGGUCAUUGGAAACUGGUUGACUUGAGUGCAGAAGAGGAGAGUGGAAUUCCAUGUGUAGCGGUGAAAUGCGUAGAUAUAUGGAGGAACACCAGUGGCGAAGGCGUCUCUCUGGUCUGUAACCGACGCUGAGGUUCGAAAGCGUGGGUAGCAAACAGG